rnacentral:sRNA from 1 species
NNNNNNNNNGCUGAUCUGGCUGGCUAGGCGGGUGUCCCCUUCCUCCCUCACCACUCCAUGUGCAUCCCUCCUGAAGUUGCAUGCUCGGUCAAAGAGGACGACCUUCCCCGAAUAGAGGAGGACCAGUCUUCGGUUAAGGGUAUACGAGUAGCUGCGCUCCCCUGCUAGAACCUCCAAACAAGCUCUCAAGAAAAUAAAGAAAAAGAUAACUAAUAUACAAGAGUUAGAGAGU